UACGUAGGGUGCGAGCGUUAAUCGGAAUUACUGGGCGUAAAGCGUGCGCAGGCGGUUCGUUGUGUCGGCGGUGAAAGCCCCGGGCUUAACCUGGGAAUGGCCGUUGAAACUGGCGAACUGGAGUGUGGUAGAGGGGGGUGGAAUUCCGCGUGUAGCAGUGAAAUGCGUAGAGAUGCGGAGGAACACCGAUGGCGAAGGCAGCCCCCUGGGCUAACACUGACGCUCAGGCACGAAAGCGUGGGGAGCAAACAGG
rnacentral:rRNA from 1 species